UCGCACCAGGCGGGGAGCUAGCGGUGCCCUGUACCCUCAAUCCGCUAAAGAGGGGCUGGAUUCCCUCCCGAGGCUUUGUUGUUUGGGAAUGCGAAAAGACAAGGAGCGUCGAAGGCCGGGUCCCGUGCAACGUACAGCCGUGAACCAUGUCAGGCCCUGACGGGAGCAGCAUUAAGCGGAAUCGUGCGUGUGCCGCGGGGAAGCCGGGCCGGAGCAACCUAUCUUUUUUUGCGCCUGGAUGGCAUUGCCAAAGGAGGGUGUGCGG
rnacentral:SRP_RNA from 1 species